GACAGAGGGUGCAAACGUUGCUCGGAAUUACUGGGCGUAAAGCGCGUGUAGGCGGUUACGCGAGUCAGGUGUGAAAGCCCGGGGCUCAACCCCGGAGGUGCGGCCGGGACUGCUUGGCUCGAGUCUCGGAGAGGAAGGUGGAAUGCUUGGUGUAGAGGUGAAAUUCGUAGAUAUCAAGCAGAACACCUGCGGCGAAGGCGGCCUUCUGGACGAUGACUGACGCUGAGACGCGAAAGCGUGGGGAGCAAACAGG
rnacentral:rRNA from 1 species